rnacentral:rRNA from 1 species
GCGAUACCCGAAUGGGGAAACCCAGUGUGACUCGUCACACUAUCAUUAACUGAAUCCAUAGGUUAAUGAGGCGAACCGGGGGAACUGAAACAUCUAAGUACCCCGAGGAAAAGAAAUCAACCGAGAUUCCCCCAGUAGCGGCGAGCGAACGGGGAGGAGCCCAGAGCCUGAAUCAGCAUGUGUGUUAGUGGAAGCGUCUGGAAAGGCGCGCGAUACAGGGUGACAGCCCCGUACACAAAAGCGCAUGUGCUGUGAGCUCGAUGAGUAGGGCGGGACACGUGGUAUCCUGUCUGAAUAUGGGGGGACCAUCCUCCAAGGCUAAAUACUCCUGACUGACCGAUAGUGAACCAGUACCGUGAGGGAAAGGCGAAAAGAACCCCGGCGAGGGGAGUGAAAAAGAACCUGAAACCGUGUACGUACAAGCAGUGGGAGCCCCACCACCAAAGCAUUUGCUGUACCGCGUUGACGGAGCGAAGCGACGUCAAACCGAUAAAACAGCAGUGUAAAGUGAGCCGCAGGGCGCUUUGCGCGACAGCGCAAAGGCAGGCGGUUUCGCGUAGCGAAAGCGAAUGCUUUGGGGUGGGGUGACUGCGUACCUUUUGUAUAAUGGGUCAGCGACUUAUAUUCUGUAGCAAGGUUAACCGAAUAGGGGAGCCGGAGGGAAACCGAGUCUUAAUUGGGCGUUAAGUUGCAGGGUAUAGACCCGAAACCCGGUGAUCUAGCCAUGGGCAGGUUGAAGG